rnacentral:misc_RNA from 1 species
UCCCCGUUACCGGGGCAGUCUAGCCAGAAAAAUUCAACUGACUACAAGGGUUGCGCUCGUUAAUGGACUUAACCAAACAUCUCACGACACGAGCUGACGACGGCCAUGCAGCACCUGUCACUGAGUUCCGGCUCUCAAUACACAAUCGACUAAAAUUAUGUACUCAGAGCCGGCACUCACUCCUUUCGGAGUAAUUCUCAGGAUUUCAAGUCUUGGUAAGGUUCUUCGCUUAACAUCGAAUUAAACAACACGCUCCACCGCUUGUGCGGGUCCCCGUCAAUUCCUUUGAGUUUUAAUCUUGCGACCGUACUCCCCAGGCGGGAUGCUUAACGCGUUAGCUUCGCUACUGAACGGGUCGAUACGUCCAACAGCUAGCAUCCAUAGUUUACGGCGUGGACUA